AGCGAACGCUGGCGGCAGGCUUAACACAUGCAAGUCGAGCGGGCACUUCGGCGUCAGCGGCAGACGGGUGAGUAACACGUGGGAACGUACCCUUCGGUUCGGAAUAACGCUGGGAAACUAGCGCUAAUACCGGAUACGCCCUUUUGGGGAAAGGUUUACUGCCGAAGGAUCGGCCCGCGUCUGAUUAGCUAGUUGGUGGGGUAUGGCCUACCAAGGCGACGAUCAGUAGCUGGUCUGAGAGGAUGAUCAGCCACACUGGGACUGAGACACGGCCCAGACUCCUACGGGAGGCAGCAGUGGGGAAUAUUGGACAAUGGGCGCAAGCCUGAUCCAGCCAUGCCGCGUGAGUGAUGAAGGCCUUAGGGUUGUAAAGCUCUUUUGUCCGGGACGAUAAUGACGGUACCGGAAGAAUAAGCCCCGGCUAACUUCGUG
rnacentral:rRNA from 1 species